rnacentral:rRNA from 1 species
UUCCGGUUGAUCCCGCCGGASCUGACUGCUAUCGGAUUGAUACUAAGCCAUGCGAGUCUUUGUAGUAAUACAAGGCAGACGGCUCAGUAACACGUAGUCAAUCUACCCUAUGGACAGGGAUAACCUCGGGAAACUGAGAAUAAUACCUGAUAGAUCAUUAUGCCUGGAAUGGUUUAUGGUCGAAAUGAUUUAUCGCCGUAGGAUGGGACUGCGGUCUAUCAGCUUGUUGGUGAGGUAAUGGCCCACCAAGGCUAUAACAGAUACGGGCUCUGAGAGGAGAAGCCCGGAGAUGGGUACUGAGACACGGACCCAGGCCCUAUGGGGCGCAGCAGGCGAGAAAACUUUGCAAUGUGCGAAAGCACGACAAGGUUAAUCCGAGUGUUUUCUGCUAAAGAAAUCUUUUGUCAGUCCUAAAAACACUGAUGAAUAAGGGGUGGGCAAGUUCUGGUGUCAGCCGCCGCGGUAAAACCAGCACCUCAAGUGGUCAGGAGGAUUAUUGGGCCUAAAGCAUCCGUAGCCGGCUCUGUAAGUUUUCGGUUAAAUCUAUACGCUCAACGUAUAGGCUGCCGGGAAUACUGCAAAGCUAGGGAGUGGGAGAGGUAGACGGUACUCGGUAGGAAGGGGUAAAAUCCUUUGAUCUAUUGAUGACCACCUGUGGCGAAGGCGGUCUACUAGAACACGUCCGACGGUGAGGGAUGAAAGCUGGGGGAGCAAACCGGAUUAGAUACCCGGGUAGUCCCAGCUGUAAACUAUGCAAACUCAGUGAUGCACUGGCUUGUGGCCAGUGCAGUGCCGCAGGGAAGCCGUUAAGUUUGCCGCCUGGGAAGUACGUACGCAAGUAUGAAACUUAAAGGAAUUGGCGGGGGAGCACCACAAGGGGUGAAGCCUGCGGUUCAAUUGGAGUCAACGCCGGGA